GCAGCAGUGAGGAAUAUUGGGCAAUGCCCGAAAGGGUGACCCAGCAACGCCGCGUGGAGGAUGAAGGUCGUAAGAUUGUAAACUCCUGUUAGAGGGGACGAAUAUCACCGAUCGACUCGGUGUUUGACUGUACCCUCAGAGAAAGCCCCGGCUAACUACGUGCCAGCAGCCGCGGUAAUACGUAGGGGGCAAGCGUUGUCCGGAUUCACUGGGUGUAAAGGGCGCGCAGGCGGGUUAACAAGUCAGAGGUGAAAUCCUACAGCUUAACUGUAGAACUGCCUUUGAAACUGUUAAUCUUGAGUGCGGAAGAGAGAGACGGAAUUCCAGGUGUAGCGGUGAAAUGCGUAGAUAUCUGGAAGAACACCAGUUGCGAAGGCGGUCUCUUGGUCCGUUACUGACGCUCAGGCGCGAAAGCGUGGGGAGCAAACAGGAUUAGAUACCCUGGUAGUCCACGCCCUAAACGAUGAAUACUAGGUGUUGGUGCUUUUGCAUCAGUGCCGCAGCUAACG
rnacentral:rRNA from 1 species